GACGAACGCUGGCGGCGUGCUUAACACAUGCAAGUCGAGCGGUAAGGCCCUUUCGGGGGUACGACGAGCGGCGAACGGGUGAGUAACACGUGGGUGACCUGCCCUCAGCUCUGGGAUAAGCCUGGGAAACCGGGUCUAAUACCGGAUAUGACUCCAUGACGCAUGUUGUGGGGUGGAAAGCCUUGUGCGGCUGAGGAUGGGCCCGCGGCCUAUCAGCUUGUUGGUGGGGUGANGGCCCUACCAAGGCGACGACGGGUAGCCGGCCUGAGAGGGCGACCGGCCACACUGGGACUGAGACACGGCCCAGACUCCUACGGGAGGCAGCAGUGGGGAAUCUUGCGCAAUGGGCGAAAGCCUGACGCAGCGACGCCGCGUGAGGGAUGACGGCCU
rnacentral:rRNA from 1 species